GGUUUGAUCAUGGCCUGAUUGAACGCUGGCGGGAUGCUUUACACAUGCAAAAGCUGAACGCGAAACUUCCGGACUUCGGUCUGGUGGCGAGUGGCGAACGGUGAGUAAUGUAUCGGAACGUGCCUAGUAGCGGGGAUAACUACGCGAAAGGCAGCUAAUACCGCACAUAUCUUCGGGGGAAAGCGGGGACCUUCGGGCCUCGCACUAUUAGAGCGGCCGAUAUCGAUUAGCUUGCUGGUGGGGUAACGGCUCACCAAGGCGACGAUCCGUAGCUGGUUUGAGAGGACGACCAGCCACACUGGGACUGGAGACACAGCCCGAUCACGGGAGGCAGCAGUGGGGAAUUUUGACAAUGGGGAAACUUGAUCCAGCCAUCCCGGCGUGUGCGAUGAAGGCCUUCGGGUUGUGUGCUAAUUUUUGGCAGGAAAGAAACGGCACGGGAUAAUACCCCGUGCAACUGACGGUACUGCAGAAUAAGCACUCCGGUUAAUCAUUACGCCAGCAGCCAGCGGUAAUACGUAGGUGCAAGCGUUAAUCGGAAUUACUGGGCGUAAAGCGUAAGUGCAGGUGGUUCUGGAAAGAAAGAUGUGAACCUGUUUUAACUUUGGAACUGCAUUUUUAACUACCGAGCUAGAGUGUGUCAGAGGAGGUUCCCGGCGUGUAGCAGUGAAACGCGUAGAUAUGCGGAGGAACACCGAUGGCGAAGGCAGCCUCCUGGGAGAGUAACGAUGCUUGCACGAAAGCGUGGGGAGCAAACAGGAUUAGAUACCCUGAGAACCACGCUCAAAUUAAUGUCAACUAGCUGUUGGGGCCUUCGCCUUGGUAGCGCAGCUAACGCGUGAAGUUGACCGCCUGGGGAGUAAUGGUCGCAGAUUAAACCCAAAGGAAUUCGACGGGGACCCGCACAAGCGGUGGAUGAGAUGUGGAUUAAUUCGAUGCAACGCGAAAAACCUUACCUACCCUUGACAUGUCUGGAAUCCCGAAGAGAUUUGGGAGUGCUCGCACAGGAACCGGAGCACAGGUGCUGCAUGGCUGUCGCCAGCUCGUGUCGUGAGAUGUUGCUUAAGUCCCGCAACGAGCGCAACCUUGUCAUUAGUUGCUACGAAAGGGCACUGACGACUGCUGCGACAAACCGGAGGAAGGUGAUGACGUCAAGUCCUCAUGGCUCCUUAUGGGUAGGGAUUCACACGUCAUACAAAAUGUGGUCGGGACAGAGGGUCACCAACUCCGCGAGGGGGAGCCAAUCCCAGAACCGAUCGUAGUCCGGAUCGCAGUCUGCAACUCGAUUGCGUGAAGUCGGAAUCACCAGUAAUCGCGGAUCAGCAUGUCGCGGGUGAAUACGUUCCCGGGUCUUGUACACACUGCCCGUCACACCAUGGGAGUGGGUUUUACCAGAAGUAGUUAGCCUAACCGUAAGGAGGGCGAUUACCACGGUAGGAUUCAUGACUGGGGUGAAGUCGUAACAAGGUAA
rnacentral:rRNA from 1 species